rnacentral:rRNA from 1 species
CAACUCCAGUUGAUCCUGCUGGAGGACACUGCUAUCGGAGUUCGACUAAGGCAUGCAAGUCUAAGGACUGCCCUUGUAGUCCUGGCAAAAGGCUGAGUAACACGUGAUCAACCUGCCCUAGGGACGGGGAUAACCUCGGGAAACUGAGGACAAUACCCGAUAGAUGAUUUGUGCUGGGAUGCCUUAUCGUCUAAAUGGCAUGGAAAUUGGACCAUCGCUGCCCUAGGAUGGGAUCGCGGAGGAUUAUGGUUGUUGGUGAGGUAACGGCUCACCAAGCCGAUAAUCCUUAGGGGCCAUGAGAGUGGGAGCCCCCAGAAGGGCACUGAGACAAGGGCCCUAGCCCUACGGGGUGCAGCAGCCGCGAAACC